rnacentral:rRNA from 1 species
UACGAAGGUCCCAAGCGUUAUCCGGAUUUAUUGGGUUUAAAGGGUGCGUAGGCGGCUUAUUAAGUCAGUGGUGAAAGCCCCAAGCUUAACUUGGGAACUGCCAUUGAUACCGAUGAGCUUGAGUAGAUUUGAGGCGGGCGGAAUGUGUCGUGUAGCGGUGAAAUGCUUAGAUAUGACACAGAACACCAAUUGCGUAGGCAGCUCGCUAAACUCUUACUGACGCUGAGGCACGAAAGCAUGGGGAUCAAACAGG